AACGUAGGGGACAAGCGUUAUCCGGAUUUACUGGGCGUAAAGCGCCCGUAGGCGGCCUGACAAGUUGGACGUGAAAGCUCCUGGCUUAACUGGGAGAGGCCGUUCAAAACUGUCAAGCUAGAGUCUGGAAGAGGAGAGCGGAAUUCCCGGUGUAGUGGUGGAAUGCGUAGAUAUCGGGAGGAACACCAGUGGCGAAGGCGGUUACCUGGAGCUUUGCUGACGCUGAUGCGCGAAAGCGUGGGGAGCGAUCCGG
rnacentral:rRNA from 1 species